rnacentral:tRNA from 1 species
UGAAUAGGAGGGCCUUGAUCCCACAAUAAAUUAAUUAACAG